UACUGUAUUUGCAGCCAUAUCAUUGUCUCUGUCUUCCUUUGCCUGAUCAUAUGGGGGAUCGAAGCCUUACCCACUUGAAAUCACUGUGGGUCUGUACGUUCAGCUUUUGUGCUUUAUGAAAGAGAUCAUGAGGACAAAAGACUGUAAUAUACUGAUCUUCGUAUGUGACUAUAAAUCCUAGCGCAUGAAACCGUUCUCACCAAGUUUCUUUCUUAAAAGUUGUUAUUACUGUUUCUCUUUGAGCUUUUGGGUGUCAAAGGAGGGGGAAGCUAGUAUUUCCUGGACUGAAUUUGUGUUGUUAUAAGCAUAUCAUCGUUCUUUCUAUGGGAUACAAAACUAGCUAAUGAAGGGGAAAGCCAGCGUUUCACGUCGUUUACUGGCGAUAAUUGGAAUAUUUACAAGCACCACUUAUAAUUGCUGGUAAAACCUUUACUGACCCCCGACACAAUGGCAAAUAAAUUAAUGCCAGUAAUGGUUUUUUGCAGCAAGUUUUAUUGCAGCUAAAUUAAAGGGUAUAUUCAUGGCCGCUAUAACUCUUUUUCUGUUGUAGGAUCAUAGAUUACCUUAUUACUUAUCCUACUUAAGUUGCUCUUUUAAUCAUUCUUUGGCAUGUUCCUGCUUCGUUUGUAUUAUUUUUUUCUUUUGGAUUACAGGGUGAGUCUGAGAAUGGUAAAGCUCCUUGGGAAGGGGUAAGCGUAUCUUUUUCACCUGAAAUUUAUAUUGAUAACUACCAUAGGUUCUUUAACUUAUUUAGGACUAUCCCAUAUUCUAUUUCUUGAACUUACCUUCUUGAAAACUUUGUAACAGCAGCAUCAUCCACCAUUUCAAUUUCCAUAGGGGAUUUAUUUAUCUUUAAAUGUCCCUUUUACUUUUGAAGUUAGAUCGGGAGGAAAGUAAUUCUUGAAGUUACUAAUACUUGACUGAAGCUUAGUGAUUAUUAAAUAGGAUAUUGUUGAGGUACUUUUCGUUAAUUAUAUUUUAUUUUAUUUUUUUUAGCCAGGUAAUACGACUAGCGGUUUCAUUUCACCCCUGGAUGGAAGAUCAUCUGGUGAAAGUAAUCCUAACGACAACCGUUGAAAUUGUUUGUAAAUGUAUCGUACUCGAUUGAAUGGUCAUAGGAGAUCUUUUGUCCAUAAUACUUGGAGUAGAUGUGAUGUUUAAAGUUAGUUUUAAGACUAACUAUAAUAUUGAUGUUUUGUGUUUAAUGGAUGAAAUAUGUGUGUUAAAACAAGUUUGAGACUAUGAUAAUUUACUUUAAUGUAUUUGAUGGUUUAUUAAUAUAUUGAUG
rnacentral:lncRNA from 1 species